GACGAACGCUGGCGGCGUGCUUAACACAUGCAAGUCGAGCGGUAAGGCCCUUUCGGGGGUACACGAGCGGCGAACGGGUGAGUAACACGUGGGUGACCUGCCCUCAGCUCUGGGAUAAGCCUGGGAAACUGGGUCUAAUACCGGAUAUGACUCCAUGACGCAUGUUGUGGGGUGGAAAGCCUUGUGCGGCUGAGGAUGGGCCCGCGGCCUAUCAGCUUGUUGGUGGGGUGAUGGCCUACCAAGGCGACGACGGGUAGCCGGCCUGAGAGGGCGACCGGCCACACUGGGACUGAGACACGGCCCAGACUCCUACGGGAGGGCAGCAGUGGGGAAUCUUGCGCAAUGGGCGAAAGCCUGACGCAGCGACGCCG
rnacentral:rRNA from 1 species